GCCUACGGGGGGCAGCAGUCGAGAAUCAUUCACGAUGGGGGAAACCCUGAUGGUGCGACGCCGCGUGGGGGAAUGAAGGUCUUCGGAUUGUAAACCCCUGUCAUGUGGGAGCAAAUUAAAAAGAUAGUACCACAAGAGGAAGAGACGGCUAACUCUGUGCCAGCAGCCGCGGUAAUACAGAGGUCUCAAGCGUUGUUCGGAAUCACUGGGCGUAAAGCGUGCGUAGGCUGUUUCGUAAGUCGUGUGUGAAAGGCGCGGGCUCAACCCGCGGACGGCACAUGAUACUGCGAGACUAGAGUAAUGGG
rnacentral:rRNA from 1 species